AUUGAACGCUGGCGGCAGGCCUAACACAUGCAAGUCGAACGGUAACAGGAAGAAGCUUGCUUCUUUGCUGACGAGUGGCGGACGGGUGAGUAAUGUCUGGGAAACUGCCUGAUGGAGGGGGAUAACUACUGGAAACGGUAGCUAAUACCGCAUAACGUCGCAAGACCAAAGAGGGGGACCUUCGGGCCUCUUGCCAUCGGAUGUGCCCAGAUGGGAUUAGCUAGUAGGUGGGGUAACGGCUCACCUAGGCGACGAUCCCUAGCUGGUCUGAGAGGAUGACCAGCAACACUGGAACUGAGACACGGUCCAGACUCCUACGGGAGGCAGCAGUGGGGAAUAUUGCACAAUGGGCGCAAGCCUGAUGCAGCCAUGCCGCGUGUAUGAAGAAGGCCUUCGGGUUGUAAAGUACUUUCAGCGGGGAGGAGGGGAGUAAAGUUAAUACCUUUGCUCAUUGACGUUACCCGCAGAAGAAGCACCGGCUAACUCCGUG
rnacentral:rRNA from 1 species